GAGCGGCUCCGCGGUGAGGGGCCGGGCCCGGCCGGAGCGGUGAGGGGCGGUGCGGAGCUGGGCCGGGCCCGGCCGGAGCGGUGAGGGGCGGUGCGGAGCUGGGCUGGGCCCGGCCGGAGCGAGAAUGGGAUCAGAAAUAAUCUACUUUUCUGCUCUGUAAGGAUUCAUACCUGAGGCCUCAAAUAUGCUGUGUGUGCACUCGCCAUAAGAUUAGCAGGAAUGAUGGCUACAGUGGUCUGCCACAAUGCUGUUGUUCAGGGAGACGUGUGACUCAGAAGUGCAGUACAUUGUGUAUCACACAGUGUGUGCAUACAUAUUCAAGCACGUGUACUUCCUCUAAACUCUUACAGUGAAGUUUAUUUUGAUAUGGAUCUUACACUUCCUUCCUGCACACUCUGGAAAAGCUUGAAUCAAAUGAAGAACACUGUUACUACAAGUUCAGCUACUACUGAGCACAUGACAUGCAAGCAGCUCAGGAAUAUUAUUCAGUAUAUUUGAUGUUUGCAUAUUUUGGAAUUAAUGUUGUGUAUAAGCAGUAUAUCUCACAGGUAUCAGCAACUCUCCUAACAUGGAUCAGCUGCUGGAAAUGUAUUGAACAUUGCAUCCCCAAGUGACAGUUCUCUUCAUUUGGAGACUUUUUAUGCAAAAAGCCAAGGAAUUAUUUCACUAUUGCACAUGCAUGUAAUUACCAUAAUGCUUGCCUCUUUCAAAUGCAAAUACACUAAGUGGUACUUGAUAUGAAUUUCCUGGUUUGCCUAACAUGAGUAUAUAGCAAUAUUAUUAAGUUCAGUCCACUAGAAGAACAAUUACAGAGGAAAAGUGUUUUUCAAACAGCAUACAAGUUCUGGUGCUAAAAAGCAAGUUGGGAUGCUCCCAGUGCAUAAUUGCAGGCACUGAAAUCACAGACCCUGGACAAACUGGUCUCUCAGCUCAGAGGUCCCCUCCACCCCGGAUGUGUGGGCCUUUGAGCAGCCUGUUGUU